rnacentral:lncRNA from 1 species
GAAAAAAUGUACAUGCAUAUAAUUUUAUAUUUGGGGCAAAAUUAUUCAACACAUACAAUCCACUCUAAAAGUAAGGGGCUACUGUCACCACAGUGAUUCCUACACACUUACAAUAUUCAAUUAUAGCAAAACGUUUACAUGUGAAAGGUUAACAAAAUAGGUACUUGUCACUUCCUGUUUUUCUGUAUGCUUAACAAAACACUGUUGAAAUCUUGAGAACUGUUUGCUAAUCUUGUUCCCAGAAUGUGCUGUCCCCAACUGCCAAACUGCAGAAUGUACUCCCUCACCCGGUUGCAUGUAAACCACCCACUCGCCCUGACCCAUCAAUAAACUUCCCUCCCUGCCCUCUCCAAGGAAAGUAUAUAAGCUCUGCUUAAGCUGUUCUCAGGGCUCUCUGCUCUAUUCAAGUGAGCUCUGAGCCCCAGCAUGCUGGACCCCCAAUAAACCCUUUGCUGUUGCAUGAGACAGUCUCUUGGUGGUCUCUUCCUCCGAUGCUCGCCCGACCUUUACAUAUGGAGGUUCCACCGAGAUCCGGCAGCGGCGGACGAGAGACCACAAUGGGCUCCUCUCGGGGUAAGUAAGGCGCCUCUUUCUGGUUUCAGGUUUCAGGUUAGGGCUUGGCAAAAUGGCUGUCGGUGAAGAGCGUGAGCUCUCUCCGACGGUGGCUGACAGACAUGUCACAGAGCCACAGGCCACAUCCCUGGGGGAUGCCCCAGAGGAAAUCGAGGAACAAUAGUCUCCUCGACUCAGUGAUAUUUUGUUUCCGAUUUGGUAUUGCCAGCCCAUCGGGUUUUGCCGGCUACUCAGUCCUGGUCUCAGUGUUGGACGUCCAUUGCCUGUCUUUAUUGUCUUGUCUUGUCUGUGUUGUGUGUCGUUGCUUUCACUGUUUGUGUAUCUUUCAUUAUGGGACAGAGCACUUCAAUGCCUCUGUCCCUGACCCUUGAUCACUGGACCAAAAUCUGCUUAAGGGCUCAGAAUCUUUCUUUUUCAGUAAAACGCCGGACCUGGCAGACUCUCUGUGCCUCAGAAUGGCCCACCUUUGGAGUCGGAUGGCCCCCAGAAGGAUCUUUCUACUCCCCACUAAUUCGAAAAGUCAGAGAUAUUGCCUUUCAGCCAGGGCCACAUAGCCAUCCGGAUCAACAUAAGCCGUAUAUCUUAACUUGGCAGGACCUCUGCGAAUCUCCUCCUCCAUGGGUGAAGCCUUUCCUUGUCCCUGCCCCCGCUCCUACUCCUUCCCCCAUGAUUCUAUCUCUCAAACCCUCUGCUCCUCCUCCUCCUUCACCCUCUGUUCUCCCUGAGUCUCAAGAUUUGACUCUACUGGAUUCUCCACCCCCUCCUAAUCCCCUGCCCUCGUCCCCCAACCCCCAACACCCUCUAAGUGAUUCCCCUGCUGCUGACUCAGCCUCUCCGCCAUUGGAGGAAGCAAAGCCAGCCCAGCGCCCUCCAGAUGACUCCCCCGCGGCACACACAGCCCCUCCUCCCCUGGAGGACGCUGGCCCAGCUAAAGGAACUCACCAGCGGCGAAUGAUUAAAAACCCUGAAGCCCCCGUGAUACUCCCCCUCCGUCCCUACAGGCCAAUGAUUGACGACAGCCAUGGGAGAGAAAUGCAAGCCUACCAGUAUUGGCCUUUCUCCUCUUCAGACCUAUAUAACUGGAAAAAUAACAAUCCCCCUUUUUCCGAGGACCCCACCUGGCUCACAGGUCUGGUUGAGUCAUUGAUGUUUUCACACCAGCCUACUUGGGAUGACUGCCAACAACUCCUAGGCACUCUCUUCAUGACAGAGGAACGAGAGAGAAUCCUCCUGGAAGCUAGAAAAAAUAUCCUCGGACCAGAUGGGCGACCGACACAACUUCCCAACAUAAUCGAAGCCGGCUUCCCCUUGAACAACCCAACUGGGACCCCAACACCUUUGAAGGUAGGGAGCAUCUGUCCACUUAUCACUGGGCUCUAAUAGUGGGUUUCCGAGUGGCCGCUAGGCGACCAACUAAUUUGGCCAAGGUAAGAGAGAUUAUUCAAGGGCCUGAUGAAUCUCCCUCUAUGUUUCUAGAGAGAAUUAUGGAGGCAUAUAGGAGAUAUACUCCUUUCAAUCCUUAGGCAGAGGAUCAAAAGGCAUCUGUCACGAUGGCCUUUAUUGGGCAAGCUGCCCUGGAUAUUAAAAGAAAGUUACAAUGCUUAGAUGGAUUACAAGAUAUUUAUUUGAGAGAUUCAGUCAGAGAAGCCGAGAAGGUAUACUAUAAGAGAGAAACUGAGGAAGAGAAGGAACAAAGGAGGGAGAAAGAAAGGGAGCAAAGGGAGGAUGAGAGAAGCAAAAGACAGACUAAGGCAUUGACUAAGGUCCUGGUCACAACAACAAAUAGGCCAGAAAUUAAGAAACAGGGAGACAGGAAGAGAUACCUGGGCUCACGCCAGAGGCCACCCCUGGCCUCAGAUCAAUGUGCCUACUGUAAAGAAAAAGGACACUGGGCCAAAGAGUGCCCUAGAAAGAGACAGCCAUGCCAGUCAGCCAUUCUGACUCUGGAGGAUGACUAGGAAAGUCGGGGCUCAGAUCCCCUUCCUGAGCUCAGGGUAACUUUUGAAGUGGAGGGGACCCCAGUAAACUUUGAAGUGGAUACAGGGGCAGUAUACUCAGCCCUUAAGGCCCCAUUGGGCCCUCUAUCAAAUAAAAGGUCUCUAGUUCAAGGGGCUAACGGCAGUAAAUAUUGGGCUUGGACAACUAAGAGGACCAUGGACCUGGGGAAGGGAAAAGUCCAUCACUCCUUCCUAGUGAUCCCAGAAUGCCCGGCCCCAUUGAUGUACAUGCAUAUAAUUUUAUAUUUGGGGCAAAAUUAUUCAACACAUACAAUCCACUCUAAAAAUAAGGGGCUACUGUCACCACAGUGAUUCCUACACACUUACAAUAUUCAAUUAUAGCAAAACGUUUACAUGAACAUGCCAGACUGAUUCAAAUGUUUCACAAACACUGAUAAAAUGUCCAUUAAAUGUAGGGCACAGAUACACAUUCACACUUCCUUGCCUUCAAGGAGCUUACAAAAACAUUUUUGUCUCUCUUACAUAAAAAAAAAAAACUAAGACAGUAAGUUUUGUUUUUGUUUUUGAUUUUGGGGUUUUUUUUAAGUUCUCAAGAGAGAUUUUUUUAUCAAAGUUAAUGAAUUUUAUUUUUGCUACAGAUCUGUGUUUGAAAAGAGAACCAUAGAACUGAUCUAAUUUGAAUGAAAAUGGUUUGGGUCUACUGGAAAGUACUAAAACCUGUGUUUCUAAAACACUAAUAUUAAAGGUGUAUUAUUUGCCCAUCUCUACCUGUUAUGGGCCAGGCUAUAUGGGCAAUGACCAAAAAGACUCCAUAACAUGUAAGAAAUGCUUCUCUCAUGGGAAAGCCCUGCCUCUGUACCCAUUAAUAGUUACCUAGCAUAACAUACCUGGCAACACAAAAUAGCAAUUCUUAUACAAAGUAAAAUUGUUCUCUUCGGUUUCAAUUUUUCUUCCACAAUUAUUGUCUAGAUGUUAGUAACCAUUCUUAAUUUGUACUGAACAAGGGUCAUUUUGACCCACUUCCUUUCUGCUUGCUUGCUGUUAUUCCAACCUGGAAAGUCCCGUGGGAAAUACCAAUGUACCCAUUGCAAUGUCUUACUAACUGCCCAAUUCAGCUUCUCUACUUGCUUGCUUGAGGCUAUGUCAACCCAGAUGUGGUUUUAAAUAUCCUAAAUGCUCAGGCUCCGGGCUGUUCCUUUCAGAGUCAGUUAUGGGUCCGGUAGAGAGCAGUCGCGGGCUAAAUAAAGACUCUUCAAUUUGGACAAAACUGGGACUUUGUGUGUUUUCUGAGCGACCUGCCCAUAACACUGGUUCUACUAAGGUAAAAGAAAAAACAAGAAAGUGAUAGAGGUAGCUUGUUAUAUUGAUACAGAUUCAGGAUAGGCAGAAUAAUAAUAAUAACGACCAGUUAUUGAGUGAUGACCAGGUCUCAGGCAUCACAAACAUUAUCUCGUUAAUACUGCAAAGAGGGUGUUUUUAAUCCUUGUUUUACAUAUCGGAAAAUUGAGGUUCAAAGAGCUUGGGAAAUGUGCAUGAGGUCACUUAUCUAUACUGUGGCAGAAUCAGGAUUCUAAUUCAGGAAUGUCUCACUUCAAAUACCAUAAAAUUCCACUCAUCAGCUGCCUCUACUAAAAGUACACUUAUCAGAUACCUACUAUUUGAAAUACAUUUCUUUGACUUAACUUAAUGCUGCACAAUGCAUGCAUUUCCAGCAACUCCCUCUCAGUUUUAACCUCUUCUUGCAUCCGGAUCUCUUUGACUUGUAGUGCUUUAUUAUUAUGAUGAUCACUGCUUUUUAUCAUUGUUUAUUAUUUAGUGGGGAAACUUGAAAAAGUAUGAAACUGUUGAUGCAGAGUCAGAAUGGGUCUCAAAUUUUUUACUUAUACAAAUCUAAAAUCCAAUAUUUUCCUGGGUCAAAUGCAAACUAAGUCUUCAAGAAAACAAAGACUAGUUCUCUGGCUGACUGCUACAUUCAAUAAUUUUGUCUCAAAUAAUACAAACUGACAUAUGGGAACCUCAAAACUAAAAUCCUAGUGAGGGAAACAGAAGUGGACUUCAACCAAUAUAAUUUUUUAUUCCAGUUCUCAAUGGUGGUAGAAUUAGUUUGGUAAAGGAUAUGACACACUGACACUCAGAAAAGCCAUAUCCAGUUGUCAUAAGAGAACAUGCUAUUAAAAAUAUAAGGAUGAGGAGAGGCUAAAUAUUUCGCUAUUGGCCAAAAAGCAAUGAGAAUGGGUUCUAUGAUAAGGGACCUAAGAAUUCAACAAACAAACUUAAAGAGAAGUUAUGUUAUAAUCUAUAUUUAAACAAUUAAAAGGUAAUUUCUUGUUUAUUAUGUGCUAAAUACAACCACCUUUAUGAAAACAGAAAUGCCUGUUCUUCAUUUUCUUAUUUGUAAGUCAAUUGGCAUUUAUCUUUAAGAAAUGUACACACUACAAUGGCCUAAAAAAUAGAACUGUGUUGUGUAAGCCAAGGAAUGCCUAGGAUUGUUGGCAACUAUCAGAAUCUAGAAAAGAAGCAUGGAACAAAUUCUCCCUUGGUGCCUCCAGAAGGAACCAGCCCUGUCAACACAUUGAUUUUGGACUUGUAAGCUCCAGAACUGUGAGAUAAUACAUUUCUGUUGUUCAAAGUUGUUUUUUUUAAUGUUAUUUAGCAAGAAUUUUGUAUUUGGAAGCAAAGUAGGAAUUACAUUAAAUUGUGUUAUUUUGGUGUACAAAGGAAUCCCCUGACACAAAAGUAAAUAUACAAGUCAAUAGAGUCCAUUGUUAUGCAAUUUAAGGAUAUUUCUUUGUUAGCACAAUGCAUAAACUAAAUGGUACUGUUCAAUACAGUAGCCAUCAGCCACAUGUGGUUACUUAAAUUAGUUAAAAUAAGAUUAAAAAUUCAUUUCCUGAAUCCUAUUGGCCACAUGUGAAGUGCUCAAGUCACAUGUGACUAAUGCCUACCCUAUUGGACAGUACAGACACAGAAUAUUUCCAUGAAUGGAGGAAGAUCUAUUUGAAAGUGCUGGUUGAGAAGGAUAAAAUAUAGAGAAUCACUGCUUCUUUUAAAAAAAAUUCCUAACUUCUCAUCCAACACUGUAACUUCAUCACACAAGUGACAACUAUACUCCAGUCUCAUAAAUAUCACUUUGAAUUUACAACCUAGAAAACCCGAACUAGUGCUUUAUUGUGCACAGUGGCAGAUCAGCAUCGAAUUUGGAGAUGCUAUUAUCCUGACCUUUCUGUUGGCAAGAAUUACAUUGUGCAGUUUCAUUUGUCUGGACUGGAACACAAUUGGGGUGAGAAAAUGGAAAACAUGAUGUUCCUUCUUCAACAAUGACCCCAACUUAUCCAGUGUUCCUUUCAAGAUUGUUCCUAUGUGAUUGUGAAGCAUAUUUCCUUCCAACAAUAAUCCUGUACUUUACCAAUAACUAUAAUAAGUCCUCAAGAUAAUAAAAGAAUUAAUCCUGGAUAUAUGAAGUCUGUGAAUUGCCCCUGAUCCCAUGUUCUCUCAUUGAGAUAGAAAUACUGAAUUAUAUAAAUUAAAAAUGGCAGUGAUCAAAACAGUCCGCCCAGAAGGCAGAUAAUCAAUAUUCCACAGUGUGCCUACAGCCCUCAAAAGAGGUUUAGAGUCUUUUAAAAUUAUGUAAACAUUUCAAGCUUCUCAAAAUUAUUCUUAAUUAAUUAUACUUCUACUUAAUUAUCAUGAUUCUAUCCUACUUCUUUCUUGCCUGAAUUGAAGUCUCCUUGAAAAUUAUUCUAAUAUUUUUUCUCAAGACCAUUGCUUUUAGCAUGAUUUUAAAACUUUUAAAAGGCUUUAAAAAAUAAGUACUCAGGGACUGUGGCUGUGACUCAGCAGAAGAGCGCUUGCCUUGCAUGUGUGAGGUUCGAUGUGAGGGUUCGAUUCUCAGCACCACAUAAAAAUAAAUAAAAUAAACUUAUAAAAAUAAGGAUUCAGUAUAUCUUUAGUAUUUUAUAAGAAUUAUGAUGACACAGAAUAAAAAUAAAGUUGAGUUCUGCUAUAAAGCCUACAUUCAGUAUUAUGCCAGAUGGCCCCCACUAAGAGAAAGCAAUGGCUAAUGUGAGUCCAGAGAGGUAUCAUUAUAUACAUCCUUGAAAACAGCUUUAAGACCUAUUUGCUGAGAUAAUAUGUAAACUGCUUCUAUCCUCAGACUAAUCUUAACUUUUCUACUUAUAAUAAAUAUGUGAUAUUUUGACCCUUAAAGUAUAAAUGUUAAUAAAAACAGUGUAUUACUAUGGCAAAUAUGUUAGGAACUCUGAUCUAAGCAAAAAUAAAUUUUUUUUUUUUAAUUU